AUGGCUGAGCAGUUUUGCUUUGUUCUGGCUUACACCCUGGGUGUGAAACAGCUAAUUGUUGGUGUCAACAAAAUGGAUUCCACCAAGCCACCCUACAGCCAGAAGAGAUACGAGGAAAUUGUUAAGGAAGUCAGCACCUACAUUAAGAAAAUUGGCUACAACCCUGACACAGUAGCAUUUGUGCCAAUUUCUGGUUGGAAUGGUGACAACAUGCGGGAGCCAAGUGCUAAUACGCCUUGGUUCAAGGGAUGGAAAGUCACCCGCAAAGAUGGCAGUGCCAGUGGGACCACACUGCUGGAAGCUUUGGGUUGCAUCCUGCCACCGACUCGUCCAACUGACAAGCCUCUGCGACUGCCCCUCCAGGAUGUCUACAAAAUUGGUGGUAUUGAAACUGUCCCUGUGGGCCGAGUGGAGACUGGAGUGUUAAAACCUGGAAUGGUGGUUACCUUUGCUCCAGUCAAUGUGACAACAGAAGUAAAGUCUGUUGAAAUGCACCAUGAAGCUUUGAGUGAAGCUCUUCCUGGGGACAACGUGGGCUUCGAUGUAAAGAACGCACCUGUCAAAGACGUUAGACGUGGCAAUGUUGCUGGUGACAGCAAAAAUGACCCACCCAUGGAAGCUGCUGGCUUCACCGCUCAGGUGAUUAUCCUGAACCAUCCAGGCCAAAUCAGUGCUGGCUAUGCUCCUGUGCUGGAUUGUACACUGCUCACAUAGCAUGCAAGUUUGCUGAGCUUAAAGAAAGAUUGAUCGUCGUUCUGGUAAGAAACUGGAAGAUGGCCCUAAAUUCUUGAAAUCCAGUGAUGCAGCCAUCGUUGAUAUGGUUCCUGGCAAGCCCAUGUGUGUUGAGAGCUUCUCUGAUUAUCUUCCAUUGGGUCAUUUUGCUGUUCUUGACAUGAGGCAGACAGUUGCUGUGGGUGUCAUCAAAGCUGUGGACAAGAAGGCUGCUGGAGCUGGCAAA